GGAGACACACCUGUAACUAGGCAAAGGCAGGGGGUGUGAAGGCUGUUAGAACUGAAGGCAAAGCACGGUGGAGGCCCAGACACGGAGGGGCAGGCCCCGGCCGGCGGGUCGGGGAAAGCUCUCUGGGAGAUGACGCCAAGCCUGAGUUUACCAGAUGGAUGGAGGAGGGAAGGGCAUUCCAGGCAAGUGGAAGAGCAUGUGCCAGUGUACAGAGUCCCCAGGCUCCUGCUCUGUACCAGGCCUGGGGAUGGACAGACUGCUGACUCCGGCCCCUGAGCUCAUUGAGUUCCCAGCCCAGUGAGGGAGACGCUCAAAUCUUCAUGACACAACAGUGGACAGAAGAGGAGAAGAUACAUAGAGAGACACACAGAGGAGAAGGCCUGUGAAGAUGGAAGCAGAGACUGGAGCGAUGGAGCCAAAGCCAAGGAAGCCAAGGGUUGUGGACACCCCCAGAAGCUGGAAGAGGCAGGAAGGACACUCCCCUGGAGCCUUCGGAGGGAGCACGGGCCUCUGACACCUGGAUUUUGGACUGCUGCCCUCCAGAACUGUAGAGAAGACCUUUCUGUUGUUUGAAGCCACCAAGUUUGUGGUAAUUUGUUCUGGCAACCCUGGGAAACUAACACAGUGGGCAUUACGCAAAAAGCCAGGGAGGAUGCUAAGCCGGUGAGGGAAGGAUCCACUUGGUGUCCUCUGCCCCUCCCCCACUCCUGGGGGAGUCUGGUUAAGACCCUGCCAGCAGCUCGCCCAGACAUCACAGUUGGCAAGGUGGCGAGUGAGGGUGACGGGAGGACGGACUUUUGGGGUGUUAACUUUGUCUCCCCCACUCAAGUGUGGGGCCCCUCCUGUGCACUUCAGACUCUCUUGACCUCAUCUCUGAUCCCAGCCUCAGUGGUGGCCAGGGCGGGUGGGCUCCACCCAGCUGCAGGCAGCAGGAGACCUGACAGCAUCUCACCCCAGGGUUCUCUAUCAACGCUGGACUCAGGAGGUGGCAGGAAGCCUCCCGGUGUCCACACGUGCACUAUCCGGAAAGGCGAAAGUGAAAGGGGUAAAGAGGGACAUGUGUUUGGUGAUGGAUGGAAGCUAGACUUUUGGUGGUGAACAUGAGGUAGUCUAUAUAGAAGUGGAAAUAUAAUGACGUACCCUUGAAAUGUAUAUAAUGUUAUCAACAAUAUUACCUCAAUUAAAAAAAUAAAAUAGAAAGGAAAUACAGCUUUUCUAGGGAAAAAAAAGAGCAUCACUUCUGCUCACAUUCUCUCAACCAGAUUUGGUCACAUGGUUAUUCUUACUGCAAGGGGCAUUGAGAAAAGUG
rnacentral:lncRNA from 1 species